AUCCACGAUCCCUCCACAUGUAUUGAAUAAGAAAGCCCAUGUCAUUGUUUUGGGUUAGGUUGCCUUGGGCCCAACCGUGGCUGCAAUACCGCCGAAGCGGCGAAGAUGAAAUCGAUAACCAUUCUCAGUCACUGAAGCUGCGGCAGAGUAAAAUGGUGAGAGUGAACUUGUUCACGUUUCAGAUAAACGGCUUCGAUGGGCAUGACCGAGUUUGUAUUGUCGUGCCUGAACAUCUGAACUGAAGAUUGUCGUCUUCACGGAGUUGCUGAAACAUUUUAGAAGUGAUGCUGAGAUAGCUACGAUCAUUGGUCAUGAGGUUGGGCAUGCGGUUGCUCGACAUUCUGCA